UAAAACCACCAUAAUCAUAGGUUUCAUCAUAAAAAUUGGGAUCAUAAGGCUGUGCACGUCCUUUGAUGGGAGACUCAUAUAUAAGAUCAAGGAUGAUCUUUAUGCACUCUACAACCCUAUCGGGUUUUCCUCCAAUAAGAACAGCCCUCUUCCAAGGUAGGGAUGAUUUUCUUCAGAAUUUCUCCAAUUGUGUCAAUACCAGCACUGAUACUCAAUAUGUGCUCGGGGCCACUGCUGUCUGGGACUGAAACACUGGCAUUGUAGUCUGUACGGAGAGCCUUGAUAUUCUUGCCUCCUUUUCCAAUCACUGCCCCAGCAUUCUUGGUCUGAAGCAGAAUGCGUAAUUCAACCAUCUCAUCAGUGUUUCUAGAUCUUUUAAAUGCUUGUUACUCUUCCAUAUCUUCUGCAGGGUGUUUACCAAAUUCACCAUUGGUUUCAGUGUUCGGGAAGGUUUCUUCCGGCUGUUCAGUUUACAUAUUCUUUUAUUAAAUGGGCACACCAAUCAGUUAUUAUAUAUCCUUGCAGAGCAGAACUGAAGCGUUCUGGGUGGGACCAACAACUGACACCCCAGUGCUGCAGUAGCCUAUAGUCAG
rnacentral:lncRNA from 1 species